UAAAACAAAAAAUAUACCAAA
rnacentral:sRNA from 1 species